rnacentral:rRNA from 1 species
AGAGAUCAUGGCUCAGAAUCAACGCUGGCGGCGUGCCUAACACAUGCAAGUCGUACGCGAAAGGGGCUUCGGCCCUGAGUAGAGUGGCAAACGGGUGAGUAACACGUGGGUGACCUGCCUCAGAGUGGGGGAUAACGUCCCGAAAGGGACGCUAAUACCGCAUAACAUCCUGCCUUUGGAAAGGCGGAGAUCAAAGCCGGGGAUCGCAAGACCUGGCGCUUGGAGAGGGGCCCGCGUCUGAUUAGCUAGUUGGUAGGGUAAUGGCCUACCAAGGCUACGAUCAGUAUCCGGCCUGAGAGGGCGGACGGACACACUGGGACUGAGACACGGCCCAGACUCCUACGGGAGGCAGCAGUGGGGAAUUGUUCGCAAUGGGCGCAAGCCUGACGACGCAACGCCGCGUGGAGGAUGAAGAUCUUCGGGUCGUAAACUCCUGUCGAGCGGGAAGAACACCUUUCGGGCGAAUAUCCCGGAAGGCUGACGGUACCGCUAAAGGAAGCCCCGGCUAACUCCGUGCCAGCAGCCGCGGUAAUACGGGGGGGGCAAGCGUUGUUCGGAAUUACUGGGCGUAAAGGGCUCGUAGGCGGCCAACUAAGUCAGACGUGAAAUCCCCAGGCUCAACCUGGGAACUGCGUCUGAUACUGGAUGGCUUGAAUCCGGGAGAGGGAUGCAGAAUUCCAGGUGUAGCGGUGAAAUGCGUAGAUAUCUGGAGGAAUACCGGUGGCGAAGGCGGCAUCCUGAACCGGCAUUGACGCUGAGGAGCGAAAGCUAGGGGAGCAAACGGGAUUAGAUACCCCGGUAGUCCUAGCCUUUAACGAUGAAUGCUUGGUGUAACGGGUAUCGAUCCCUGUUGUGCCGAAGCUAACGCAUUAAGCAUUCCG